UUCUACACUGAGGAGAAGGCACUCAAGACAGAUAUCCGUUCAUGUUGUCUGCAAGUGAUUCCAGACGUUUCAGCACCUGGGCAACAGUGCUGGACAGUGGAUUGCUGAAAGGGAAAACACCCAUUUGGGAUACAACUAUACUAUCAACUAUCAACUAUCAAUAUAGGGAUACAAAUAUAUAACUAGGCUACACACUACAAGGCAACAGCAAACAUGAAGUCAAUCAUAAACAAUGGUUUGAUGGCCAUUUGAUAAUUGGAGAGCAGCAUUGGAAUGUGACAACUUGUCUGGCUUCGUCUGGUCCUAAGUUACACCAAACAAAAUAAAAAAAAUCUCAACAAAUUUAGAUCAGGAUUUUCAGCUUAAAUUUCAGCUGAAGUUUUUGUGUGACUAGGUGCUUGUGACAAUAGAAAUCAAGGUUAACUUCCCCUGUCAAACUGUGGUAAAUCUUCAAGAUAUUGAUGCCGUCUUGGCUACUAUCUCUUCCCUUUUGCAGAUUACAGCAAAAUAAUGCGCAAAAUAAUCCUGGGACUACUGAAUAGGUCAUCCAAAUCACAGAAGAUUCAUCAUAAUUAUCGACUGAUUCUAUUAGACUUGCACCAACCCCAGCAUGGAUCAAUCUCUCAUUCCAUCUUCUAGAGAACCUUGGAUAACUGAUUGGUGGUUUUGUAU